rnacentral:rRNA from 1 species
UACGUAGGGUGCGAGCGUUAAUCGGAAUUACUGGGCGUAAAGCGUGCGCAGGCGGCUUUUUAAGUCAGAUGUGAAAUCCCCGGGCUUAACCUGGGAAUGGCAUUUGGGACUGCAAGGCUGGAGUGCGGCAGAGGAGACUGGAAUUCCUGGUGUAGCAGUGAAAUGCGUAGAUAUCAGGAGGAAUACCGAUGGCGAAGGCAGGUCUCUGGGCUGACACUGACGCUCAUGCACGAAAGCGUGGGGAGCAAACAGG